rnacentral:rRNA from 1 species
ACGGGAGAUGCCAGGGAAGAGAUUUCGGUCGAAUCCGGUGUAUCUUUAGUGGCGGACGGGUGAGUAACGCGUGGGUAACCUGCCAUAUACUGGGGGAUAACACUUAGAAAUAGGUGCUAAUACCGCAUAAGCGCACGGUCCCGCAUGGGACAGUGUGAAAAACUCCGGUGGUAUAUGAUGGACCCGCGUCUGAUUAGCUGGUUGGCGGGGUAACGGCCCACCAAGGCGACGAUCAGUAGCCGGCCUGAGAGGGUGGACGGCCACAUUGGGACUGAGACACGGCCCAAACUCCUACGGGAGGCAGCAGUGGGGGAUAUUGGACAAUGGGGGGAACCCUGAUCCAGCGACGCCGCGUGAGUGAAGAAGUAUCUCGGUAUGUAAAGCUCUAUCAGCAGGGAAGAAAGAAAUGACGGUACCUGAGUAAGAAGCCCCGGCUAACUACGUGCCAGCAGCCGCGGUAAUACGUAGGGGGCAAGCGUUAUCCGGAAUUACUGGGUGUAAAGGGAGCGUAGACGGUGAUGUAAGUCUGGAGUGAAAGGCGGGGGCCCAACCCCCGGACUGCUCUGGAAACUAUAUGACUGGAGUGCAGGAGAGGUAAGCGGAAUUCCUAGUGUAGCGGUGAAAUGCGUAGAUAUUAGGAGGAACACCAGUGGCGAAGGCGGCUUACUGGACUGUAACUGACGUUGAGGCUCGAAAGCGUGGGGAGCAAACAGGAUUAGAUACCCUGGUAGUCCACGCCGUAAACGAUGAUCACUAGGUGUGGGUGGGUAUGGACCCAUCGGUGCC